GCGUCACUAGUACAGCGGUAGUAUGCCUGCCUUCCAAGCAGGUGAUCCGGGUUCGACUCCCGGGUAACGCA
rfam:Hypsibius dujardini strain Z151 scaffold0069, whole genome shotgun sequence.